rnacentral:lncRNA from 1 species
UGGUACUUAUUUAAUCGACCACGAAACGAUGAAAGGCAAAGUCGACCUCGGCGGAAUUUGAACUCAGAACAUAACGGCAGAUGGAAUACCUAUUUCUUUACUACCCACAAGGGGCUAAACACAGAGAGGACAAACAAGGACAGACACAUGGAUUAAGUCGAUUACAUCGACCCCAGUGCGUAACUGGUACUUAUUUAAUCGACGCCGAAAGGAUGAAAGGCAAAGUCAACCUCGGCGGAAUUUGAACUCAGAACAUAACGGCAGACGAGAUACCGCUUAGCAUUUCGCCCGGCGUACUAGCGAUUCAACCAGCUCACUGCAUUAAUAAUAAUAAUAAUAAUAAUAACAACAAUAAUAAUAAUAAUAAUAAUAAUAAUAAUAAUAAUAAUAAUAAUAAUAAUAAUAAUAAUAAUAAUAAUAAUAAUAAUAAUAAUAAAAUAAAAAUAAUAAUAAUAAUAAUAAUAAUAAUAAUAAUAAUAAUAAUAAUAAUAAUAAUAAUAAUAAUAAUAAUAAUAAUAAUAAUGAUAAUAAUAAUAAUAAUACUAAUAAUUUCAUUUGGUUACCAAAUAGUAGCAGUUGAGGAAGAUAUCACAAAUAUAUCUUACAGCUUGUGCGGGGGUUUACGUAAAAGAUGGAAAGGAUGGCACAAGGUGUAAAAUGAGAUAAAUAAUUCCGUCAUAUACAAAAUAUGUGAAUACGCUUAUGACACGUUUCUCCAGUUACAUGAAAAUCACCAGCUAACGUCAGCCAAAGGAUCCCCAAGGAUCCAGGUUCUCAGGCUAAAUAGGUUAUAAUCCAUCUUGUCUAGACUACGUCUUUUCUUCCUAAACAUUAUUUUACUUUACCACAAUCAUCCACCUUUUAUCAAAUUCAUUGGGUAAGAACAUUGCCCUCUGCACGCUUCUUUCCAAAUGGAACUCGAACAAGCUGAUUAAUUUUCGAACGAAGCAAAGUGAAUUCUUCCAUGUUAAUAUACCAUACGCCGGUAUUUACCACAGUCACUAGCCAGAAGAACACCGUCUACCUCGUCUUGUUAAAUUUGGGUGUUUGGGGCAAGGUGCACUAAAGCAGUACCAAGCAGUGGCUGUCAUGACUUCUAAUCUUAGUUGAUUGGCAGUGUUAUCAUGUAUAUGUUUUUUUUUCUUGAUAUAAAAGAUGGGCUACAACAAGAGUUCUGCUCUAUACCACAGGGUUGCUUUUCAGUUGCUUGACCGUUACUAGUUGAGCAUAGCCCUUAGUAGCUGAUGAUAUAUGCAUCUCUGAACACGUGCAGGAAUAGUGAAGGCGCUUUGUAGCCAUGUGUUGAGAGGAAUUCUUUGAGGUUUGAAUAAGUUACCACUGAAAGCAUGGGUGUUUUGUUCAUCUUCCUUAAACAAACCUUAUUCAGGGACCUUUUGGGCGGGAAACGCUACUAGACCUGAAGAAAAUUCUAACUGGGCCCCACCUGCAUGGCCUUGCGUUGUUUAUCGUGAUACAAGAUCAACAUUUUGUCAUAAAGCAUAGUGUACCCUUAUCAGAUGGGUAGUCAUGAUGUGUAUAUUGGGCUUCGUAUAUUUGUACCUUACUGUCACUUUCAUGGCAUCAUGCAUUUCUCUCUCUCUUUCAAUAAUAAUAAUAAUAAUAAUAAUAAUAAUAAUAAUCUUUACUACUAUAGGCACAAAGCCUGAAAUUUUGGAGGUAAGAUCUAGUCAAUUACAUCAUCUCCUGUACACGUUUGCUGCUUAUUUCAUGGACCACGAAAAAUGGUGAGAUUUGAGCUCCGAAUGUAAAGAUGAUCCUGUGGUCAACUUGUCUUUAAUCAGGUGAUUCCUUAGAACAAUUCUGACCCCCCCCCCCCCCCAAAAAAAAAAAACGUAGCAGAAGAGUGACAAGAGAAAAUAUAAUACAGAUCCAGUUUUCUCUAGUAUCUCUAUCAACAUUUGUUUCAUAAAUUCGUGACUAAAAAGAGGAAAAAUGUAAUCUGGUUCCGAAGGGGAUUUGAAACCACUGCAUCACAGAAGAUCUCUAAGCACCUGCGACUCUUUUGCUUGAUUCGCUGCCGACUCUUCUAUCCAGCUUUUUCGUUCAAACAUAGCUUAAGACAUUUAAAGACGUAGGUGAGGGAAAACUACUGAGAAAGGAAACAAGUUCUAAAUGAUUUUUAGGGGGGUAAUUUCAUAGCAAUAGGCUCUCAAUCAAUUAUUUUUCUUAUAAAAUCACAGUGGAAUGUAAGCAUAUGCUGGGCUCUGAUUGUGGAUUGCUUAAAAUAAAAGUCGAAGUAAUUCCAGUUAGUUUUCCAAAAAUAUAGGGAAACUAUAAUUUUUUCUUACUUAAUGUACAUUUUCAUGUGUGUGUGUAUGUGUUUGUGUGCGCGUGUGUGAGUGUGUGUGCGCGCGUUCGUGCGUGUGUGUGAGUACAUUUAUGCGUGUGCGUUUGUGUGUGUGCGCUUGUGUGCCUGCGCAUUUUUGUGUGUGUAUGUAUUUAUUCAUCUAUCAGUCAUCCUUCAAUCUCUCGCAUCUUUCUCUCUCUCUGUCUUUCUUUCUUUCGGACACACACACACACACACACACAUACACAUCUAUAUGAACAAAGACGUAUAUCUAUCUAUCUAUCUGUCUGUCUAAAGAUAUUGUAUAUGUAUUUAUUUAAAUAUAUAAACAAAUGAAUAUAUAUAUAUAUAUGUGUAUAUAUAUAUAUAUACACACACACACAUAUAUAUAUAUAUAUAUAUAUAUAUAUAUAUGCAUAUACGUACAUACCUGCAUACAUACAUGCAUAGAUACUUAUGCGAGGGCAACAAACAUAUGCGUAUACAUACUAAAGUUUUAAGAGUAACCUUAAAAGACUAUUACAGAUAAUUUAAUAUAAAUAAGGAAGCACAUUAGUCCACAGAACCACGUUAGAGGUUUUAUUUAAAAAAAACUGAACCUUAUAAAGACAGUAUGGUAUUAGGUGACAGUCAUACUUUUCAGGAGUGGGUGCAAUACUAACUUAAAUUGUAAGAAUCUAACAGCAAAACGAUGAUUUUUCACUAUAACAUUACUGAAUCUUCUCAAAUACUAGUUCAGGACGGAUUAAAGGUUGUGAAACAUAAUUCUAAGUAAAGGAUAUUAUAUGUUAUUCUGUAUAACAACAACAACAGUAAGGUUUUAAGUGGAUUUAGCGGUGGUCUAUCUGUUGUAAACAUUGAAGACAGGUCACCCGUUUUGGAUGAUAUAGCGCCCUUUCUCACAAAGUCUCGGAGGAACUGAGAAGACCGUAUAGGCACUGCUCUUUCCCCUCAGGUCAAACAUUUAACGAAGCAAAACUACUCUAGUACCAAUUAGUACAUGUUAGUGGCAGCACUGAAAUCAACGACUCCCAAAGUCUUUCGGCAAUACUAUUAAUAAGAUCCGGGUUUUCCAUUGGAGAGCGUUUAUAUAAGGACAAGGAGUAAACUAUCCUAGCAUUUUAUUGCUGGUUUUGUUUUAUGAACCCCUGGAAUAUACUGGUGUAAUACUAUAUGUUGCAAUGCAGUUAGACCCAAUCUCUACAGCCUGUGUUAACUGGCUCGAUUGCUAUUAUUUUAUCACUAAAAAUUAAGCUCCCUACAUAUCUAAUAUUACCAAACGAUAUACAGUGGAACAUUAAACUUGUGCCAAAUCAAAUUCGGGAACGUAUUGCUCUUUCCUUUUACCUGGAGAAGUACAUUUCAAUGUAUCGAAACCGCAACUCUCACUUUAUAGUAUAUAGAUGAAUAGAUGAAAAGAUUAAUAUGCAGUUACAGUAGCACAAUCAAGCAACCAAAGAGUUUUGUUUUUAGUUGUUUGCUUGAUGAACUAGAAACACCAGCAAAUGUCCCCCAAACCACGCCUCACUCUCUUCAAAAAUCAAAAAGAAAGAAAGACAUGAUAAAAUGUUCCGUAAAAAAUGCUGAGAUGCUCGUUGUAAGAAGGUUUUCAUUCUAAGUGUUCUCAGUGAAGCCUGAUUAGGGGCUGAAAAUCCACAACAAAACUAUCAACGGCAAAACAACAACAACAACAAAAGCAACAAUAAGGGAAGUGAGAAAGACGUUGUAGAGAAAUAUAGAGAAGAAAUAACUUACGGGUUUUGUUGAAAGAGGCGUCACCAAUCCGUCUAUGUUUAGCUUUAACCAGCUCUGGUUUAGUAACAAGUAUUUAGUCCUCUGUAAUUGCAAUUAGCUGGGUUUCGAAUCUAAGUUCAUUGUAGAUUUUAGGUAACAAAUAUAUAUACACAGUCACACGCACAGAGAAAACUCUUGUUUCGCAAACGUCAUACGAGGUAUAUUAAAAGGAGGAAAAAUAUAAAGAAUUUUAUAAAGAAUACUCAUGGAAAUAAGAUGUCUUAUGAUAUAGAACAUAAAACUUGGAAAUAUACCCACCCUCAAAAAAAAAAAAAUGUAAAAUUAUUUUUGUUUUAGAAAUAACAUAUUUUAACCAUUAGAAUUCUUGUUAUUUUUUGUCUGUUUUUAGAUUCUCAGAAUUCAUUUUUUCUGCUUGGCCACUGCUCCUUGCUGUACAUGGACGUGUGUAUAGAUACAUUGUACUGUUACUAACCAAAAUAUACAUAUAUGUACUCAAGUGUGUAUAUUUGCGUCUCUAGAGGUGAAUGUGCGCGCGUGCAUUUGGCUAUAUACAUAAACAAGAAUUAUUAUAUCCUUUCAUUUUGGUGCAAUUUAAUACAUUUAUAAGAAUAAUCAUGAUAAUCCUUUGAGGUAUAUGAGUGCAAUUUUAUGCAUAUGUGUAUGUGCAUAUAUAUAUAUAUAUAUGUUUGUGUAUUAUAUACGUGUUGUGAGUGUGCAGGGGUUAGUUUUCGGUAUAUGUGUGCCUUUAACAAUUAUCAUGCACAAACACAUUAAACAAGGCUAUUUGUGCAUCGUCGCUUAUUUCAAAAUGAGAUUUUCAUCUAUUCACACACACGCACUCGUACACGCACACACGCACGCGAGCGUCGACAUCCUUAGUAUGGAAAGGAUGAAGACUAUGAUGGUAAUGAUGGCGGUAAUGACGAAGGUGACGAUG